GGCAGUAGCAGCAGCAGCAGCAGCAGGAACAGCUGUAAUAAUAAUCGCUGUGGAAAAACGCCAUUGGAGAAAUGGUUGCAGUCGCUUGUUGCUGCUGCUGCUGCUGCCUUUGCC
rnacentral:miRNA from 1 species